rnacentral:lncRNA from 1 species
UUUUUACUAUUAAUUAGUUAAACUACUGUUUAAGAUUUUUUAAACUAAUUUUUAAUAUUAGAUAAUAAAAAUUAUUGGCGAAUAGAUGUAUUUAAUCAACAUUGGGUUCUUUUUCUUCUUGUAAAUAGACAACUCAUAUUUCCCCUCUCUCUCCAAUCUCCCAUGCGCCCCACUCAUUUUUCACUCUCUUCAACGUCUCUCUUCACUUUCCCUCCACGCGUCCCUUUUCUGUUAU